rnacentral:rRNA from 1 species
GGAUAAUCUACCCUUAGGACCGGGAUAACCCUGGGAAACUGGGGCUAAUACUGGAUAGGCAAUUUUUCCUGCAAUGGUUUUUUGUUUAAAUGUUUUUUCGCCUAAGGAUGAGUCUGCGGCCGAUUAGGUAGUUGGUUAGGUAAUGGCUUACCAAGCCGUUGAUCGGUACGGGUUGUGAGAGCAAGAGCCCGGAGAUGGAACCUGAGACAAGGUUCCAGGCCCUACGGGGUGCAGCAGGCGCGAAACCUCCGCAAUGUGAGAAAUCGCGACGGGGGGAUCCCAAGUGCCAUUCUUAACGGGAUGGCUUUUCAUUAGUGUAAAGAGCUUUUGGAAUAAGAGCUGGGCAAGACCGGUGCCAGCCGCCGCGGUAACACCGGCAGCUCUAGUGGUAACAAUUUUUAUUGGGCCUAAAGCGUCCGUAGCCGGUUUAAUAAGUCUCUGGUGAAAUCCUGUAGCUUAACUGUGGGAAUUGCUGGAGAUACUAUUAGACUUGAGACCGGGAGAGGUUAGAGGUACUCCCAGGGUAGAGGUGAAAUUCUGUAAUCCUGGGAGGACCGCCUGUUGCGAAGGCGUCUAACUGGAACGGUUCUGACGGUGAGGGACGAAAGUUAGGGGCGCGAACCGGAUUAGAUACCCGGGUAGUCCUAACCGUAAACGAUGCGGACUUGGUGCUGGGGUGGCUUUGAGCUGCUCCAGUGCC